rnacentral:rRNA from 1 species
AUUGAACGCUGGCGGCAGGCCUAACACAUGCAAGUCGAACGAGUGGCGGACGGGUGCGUAAUGUCUGGGCAACUGCCUGAUGGAGGGGGAUAAGUACUGGAAACGGUAGCUAAUACCGAAUACCACCAGAUGUUCCCAGAUGGGAUUAGCUAGUUGGUGGGGUAACGGCUCACAAAGACGAGGAUCCCUAGCUGGUCUGAGAGGAUGACCAGCCACACUGGAACUGAGCAACGGUCCAGACUCCUACGGGAGGCAGCAGUGGGGAAUAUUGCACAAUGGGCGCAAGCCUGAUGCAGCCAUGCCGCGUGUAUGAAGAAGGCCUUCGGGUUGUAAAGUACUUUCAGCGGGGAGGCGUUACCCGCAGAAGAAGCACCGGCUAACUCCGUGCCAGCAGCCGCGGUAAUAC